rnacentral:lncRNA from 1 species
ACAAAAAUUAUGUCAACACCUCGAUUAAAAGAUUGUUUUGCUUGUAUUUUCCUCCUGAGCUGAUCUGAGAAAUUUUGUUCUCAAGUCAAACAAUUAGAGACUUUAGCUCAAGAGAAAUGUCACCCCCUGGCAUUGUAGCCUGCGGGAUGUCCUCUAUAUUUUACCAUAGUAACCAUGUCGCCCCUCAAGUGAAGUAGAAUUUAAUUCAAUAAUGAAAUUGAACUACCCAGUAGAGGAAAUUUCUAGUUUUUUUGUAUAAUUUCCACCUUAGCUUGCUCUUAGUAACCCCCCUCAGUCUCAUUAAAUAGUCGGAAAUGUAUAUUCUUAUGAAGACAUGAUCACGUUCUUCAAAUUUUGCAAUCCAACACUGUUUCUAGACAAAUAUACAAUCUGUCGGUUUGUAAUUGAGUAAAUAUGACAUUCACAAAAUAUAUCAAGGAGAACACACCUUGGUUCUGAAAGUGAAUGAUAAAUUAGUUAGGUAACAUAUGUGAAUGGUGCAAGUGCAGGUAUGGCCACCAAUUAACAUGAAGAAGUUCGAGACACUCUCAUACCUUCCUCCUCUCACCACCGAACAAUUGGCAAAGGAGGUCGACUACCUUCUCCGUUCCGGAUGGGUUCCUCGUCUGGAAUUCGAGUUGGAGGUAAGCACUUUCUUCCUACAUAUUUUUCAUGUUCUCUGUUACAUGUUUCUUGACAUUGCUGAUGACAAUUGUGUGUUAAACCAAUAUGCAGCACGGUUUCGUGUACCGUGAGCACAACAAAUCUCCCGGAUACUAUGACGGACGAUACUGGGUUAUGUGGAAGCUUCCCAUGUUCGGGUGCACCGACUCAUCGCAGGUGUUGAAGGAGCUUGAUGAGUGCGUCAAGGAGUACCCCCAGGCGUACGUCCGUAUCAUCGGAUUCGACAACGUUCGCCAAGUCCAGUGCAUCAGUUUCAUUGCUCACCAGCCAGAAUGCUGAUCAAUCUGUCUGUUGAUUUCAUAUAUUUAUCAAUCUUGUUCGGCUCAUAUAUAAACUUCUUGCAAUCUCAUUUCAUUUCUUUCCGUUUUAAAUUUCUUACUUGUAUCUCCAACACAAGGAAAUUGGAACUAUAGAGGAUUAUAUGUAGCGAUUGUUGGUGAUUAUAUAUAUCUACUUGUUUGUUUUCCCUGCACCUUCUAAAUACUUGCAUCAUAUGCUUUCAUGUCGUGAUGUACUUUUUUAUAUAUCUCCGAUUCUCCAUGCAGUAAUUAACCACUACGGUCUUUUUACACCAACAAAUUAUAUGAUAACAUAUAGAAACAGUUCAUUGCUUCCGUAAUAUCUGCCUUGGUACAUGUUCUCUUGUAUCACUACAAAACCUUUCACGUCCAACAAUGUGAAAGCAAAUUCUCUGUAAUAGAAAUGGACAUCUGCUAGCGACAUUUCAGAUAAUAAUAAAGUGUACUUAUGCACCAUCUGGUUGGAAGGAAUGAACGGGAAAAACAUGAACAAAAUCAAAGGUAAACGAGAAGUAUACAAGAGUGAAGAGUGAUGAAGAACUAGAAAGUGCAGACUUUAUUAUGAGUUUCACAAUAUAAUGAGUAAAAUAUAGGAAUGAUCAUUUAUCCCUAUAUUGGUAAGAUUGAGAUAUUAGUUUUUUUUUGUGUGCCAAACUAGUACAAAUUUCAUUUCAUUCUCCCUAAACGUAAUUCUUCCAACAAAAUGGGGCAUUACAUAAAGGUAUAAAGAUGAGGAGAUUAAAGAUUGACAGCUGCGAUAAGGGAAGGUAUGGAAAACAUGUGUAACUAUAUAAAUGUCGAACACCAAUAAGAUCCAAAUAACUCAGAUAACAUCCAAACUCAGUAACAAAUUGGUUAACAGAUAAAAUUCAGAAGCGAAUGCAAAAUAGUUUAUAAAAUUAGAUUCUAAGAUUCAAAAUUUCUAGUAUUCAGAUUAUAUGCAGAUGAAAGAGGAAGGGAGAUUUAUUGAAUAAUUUAGGCUUGACAAAACACAAUAAAAUGAUACACAUAGACUAGUAUACUCUAAUACUUAAUGAGCAGCAUAUAUUCUUAUUCUUAACUACCGUCUAUUCUAUUAUAUCAAAGAAACAUAAAUUAUUGCAAAGCUGUAAAUUCACAUUAAGAAGCUUAAACAAAUUACACAACUAGAAAUCAACCACUCAAAUUGGAUAUAAUUGGAUAAAUAUCUAAAGAGAUCAUAACUAAGAACCCUAAUUUCAAAGUUAUAAAUGUAUGUAUAUAAAUGAUUCAAAAAUCAGAACUCUGUAACACAAAAAAGCUAGCUGAACUGAGAUGAAGUAGAAAGCAGCAACAAAACAUUUAUGAAUUAAAUAUCUAAAGCUGAUCUAAUUACAAACAUCAACUCACAGUUAUCAAGAGGGGUGUAUUGGAUUGGGAUUUUAAAUCAUUUUUUUGCAUUCAUGAAAUCCGAGGGUAUUCGAUUGAGAUUAUUUGAAAUGCAUUAAAAUCUUGGGGUAUUCAAUUGGGAUUUUGAAUUAUGCUACAAAAUCUGGUGGUAUUCAAUUGGGAUUUUAAAUUAUGCUUUAAAAUCCGGUGGUAUUCAAUUCGGAUUGUUUAAAAUCCAUUAAAAUCUGAUGGUAUUCAAAUGUUGUCGGAUUUUUUUUCAUUUCAUAAAAUGGUGGAUUUUGUGGCAUUGUUCGAUGUAUUUUAAGUUUUAUGAAAUCCCACCAAAAUCAAUGGGAUUUUGAAGCAUUGUGCUUAAAUCCUAUCAACUCUGCGACAUUUCAUCAAGAAUCCGCACAAAAUCAAAAACACAUGCAAUCCAUUAAAAUCCAUAGACUAAAAACAAUCCAUUAAAAUCUCAAUCGAAUACACCCCCGCAAUUUAUUAAUCAGAUGAGAGGAAGGAAGGGAGAGGGUCAGAGGGAGAGGGAGAGGGAGAGAGAGAGAGAGAGAGGAGUUACAGUGCUACGGCGACGUUCAGCGGCGAUGGAGAAGCCAAAAGCGACCAAGCAUAGUAUUAUUACAAGAAGAUGAACGAGAGAUGAGCCUUUCCCUGCCCCCAUUAUUGUUUCUAAGGGCAUCUUUGAUCACAAUUUCAAGCUUCAUAUUUUUUUCACUUUUAAUUUUAUAGAUAGAUUAAUCAAUCUCCAAUCAUCCAUUUAUCUUCCUAUGUAAAGUCAUUUACUAGAUAAAUUAUAUUAUUUUAUAAAAAAAAAUUAAAUAACGAAAUAUAUGAUCUUUCUCGGAUGAAGAUAACUUGCAAAUUUAAUGGUAUAGUUUAGAAAUUGGGGUUGAGAAGUACCAGUAGUUAUGCUAUAUUUACCUGAUGAUCUCGUAUCGUAACUUUUUUUACACGUGGGAUUUUUUUGCUUACAGCUCAUACUCUAUAACACACUUCCGCCAUUUCACAUGUGACUUCAUCUUUUGACCAGGGUUCUGUAAAUAGAAUUUUGAGCAAGAUCCCCUUAAUACAUAACUGAAUAAACAACACUCGUAGAGAUGAAUUCUGCUGGCGGAACUAGGGAAGAAACCCUAGCUUAGUCAAAGUUUUUUUUUUCUUCCAGAUAUUUGUUUUUUUUCAGAUAUUUUUUUAUUUGAGCUCUUAAAAAUAACAGUGAACCAAUAAAAAGUAUUUAUUGUGCAAAUUUUAAUUCUAGAUUAUUUUGAUUCAUGUCAUAUUGUCAUUGACUAACAGGCCAAAGUCAUUUUGUUAAUGGGCUCUAUUUUCUUGACCAAAAUCAUACUGUUUCCCCUACUAUUAUCCUGAGCCCAUGUUUUCAAAUUUCAAUUACGCCCAACCACCAGUCCAGAGUAGUUGUUGUUGGGCCACAAGGUAACCAUCCAAUGUCUAAACUAAUCAUAGUCCAAAUAAAAUUUUUUCAUAAAAACUGCGUGUACGUGAAUCCAGGGCAGAGGACUGAACAUGACUCCACUUGAGUUGAGCAAGAAAACCGCAAUCAUAUAUCUUUGAUUUUUAAAAUUGAAAACCGCAACCGUCAAUCGGGGUCGGUUUCGGUUUCGGUUUAAGAAACUUCGAUUCGGUUAAUAGUCGGCUCGGUUUCGAUUACAAAAUCGACAAAUAUAAGAAUGAAAAAUAGUACACAAACGAGACAAAUUAAUGCACGUAAUCUAGACAUAAUAAUUAAUAUAAUAUUAAAAUUUAACAAAAGUAACCGUAUUUUAUUUAAAACACUCUUGCCAGUAAUAUAAAACUAGUCUUAGUCAGAAUUUUCAUACAGAAUACGAAUCAGAACUUCCGGCUGAUUGGCUUUUUUAACACAUGCUUCAUGAAGAUUGAGAAAAUGUGACAGGGAAAAUAGGAAAUACAGAUUGGCAGUGGCCAGUCAGCAUGAGAUAUUCACUGAACAUCAAAUAUUAACAUAGACGGAUGUUUCUGUAAGUGUUAGAAUAGAUUUAUUAUAUUUAUUACAUAUUACAUAUAUUAUUUAUUAUUAUUUUAAUAACCGGUUCCGUUUGGUUUUUAUUGGUUCGGUUGGGAGGUAUAACCGGAACCAAACCGUUUAAAUCAGAUCAAUUUUUAAUUUUUCGGUUUCUAAUUGGUUUUUUUGAGUUUUUCCAAAUUUCGAUUCGUUUUGAUUUUAAAUCGGUUUUUUGCUAAGUCCUAAAUUAAGGUAUGGGUUCAAUUAUAGACAAGGUUAAGCUUACUUUUUAAAAAGUCUAACAUCACAAGUAAAUGGUUCACAAGUAAAUGGUCUUAAAACUAUAAAGAAACCAGGAUUGAAGCUCAAAAAUUAUCACCACUACACCCUUUUUUCGUGGUGCAACAAAUUUGGCCUAAAUCAAACGCAAAUCAAACGCAUUUAUACAAGACAAAUGACAGUCUUAAUAUAGGAUUACCCCAUUUUGGUUCAACCAUGAACACUGUUUGAACUAUGCGAUAGUUUCUUUACUAAAAUAUACUUCAGACUCUGGAACUGGAAGGACUAUGGGCCACUUAAAUGCAGCAUAUAUCUUGCAAUUUGAGCUCGAUAAUGGCAAAUUCCAAAUGCAAUCUAUCCACACAUUACACUCAAGUGCGAAAGAAUGAUCCAUGUAUUUUAAGGGUUUUGGUUCCUGGCAUGUGUACAUCAGGGAGUACUUAUAUAACAUACUGAUUUUGGAUCGUUGGAUGAUAUAUGCAUCUAACGGACAUAAUUAUAAAAAAAAUUCGUCAUGCUCAAUUUUUUUUUAUUUGUUUUUUUGCAUAUGAUAUGUAACUUGAAUAAUAAGAGGAAGGGGGAAAGUGAUGCAACUGCAAUUGAAGAAGUCAGUAGUCACUUAUUUAAAUUUCAAAGUACAAAGCCCAAAUAAGCAAUUUCCAAAGAGCUAAGCAAUGAAGGGCCAAGAAAUGGCUAGCUACUGCUAAAGAAAGCAAGUCCUCAUUCCUUGAUCAGAAGAGAUAAGGCAACCGCUCUCAUGCCACGUGUCAACUCAAUAAGAGUGUUUAAUGAUAAGGCAACCAAUCCAAAUUGCUCACACUGUGUGGCUACCAUGUUGCCUUGUCAACUUCACUGUAAUUCAAUGGUCAGAAAAAUUCUGAACUUUAGGAGGUGAAUUGGGAACCAUUGGAUCAGCAGGUUAAACGAUAAUGAGAUGAAAUGCCUAUAUAUUGGAUAGGUGAAGGAACAGAAGCAAGCCUCUCAAACACAAGAGAAGAAAGUAAAAGAACAAGAAGAGAGUAUUAGUACUCAUGGCUUCUUCAAUGAUAUCAUCAGUAGCACCGGUUACCCGUGCAUCCCCUGCUCAGGCUAACAUGGUCGCGCCUUUCACCGGCCUCAAGUCCAUCGCAUCAUUCCCCGUCACCCGAAAGCUUGAGAAUGACAUUACCUCUAUUACCAGCAACGGAGGAAGAGUUCAAUGCAUGAAGGUAUAUAUCUAUACUACUUAAUACUCAGAUAUAUUAUGUGCUAAUGAGGAACCAGUAUAACAUGGCAGAACAUUUCUUAGUGAGUUAUUGCUUUCAAAGUAGCACAAUUUUAAGUCAGAUAAAGUAGUCCUAGGUAACUUUAGAGUGAGCAUAACUUUGGAAUUUUCCUUGAAUAUGUAAAUAAUUUACAAAUAUUAUGUCAACACUUCAAAUAAAAGAUGGUUUUGCUUGUAUUUUCCUCCCGAUCUGAUCUGAGAAAUUUUGUUGUCAAGUCAAACAAUUAGAUACUUUAGCUCAAGAGAAAUGUCACUCCCUGGCAAUCCUGGGGGAUAACUUCUAUAUUUUACCAUAGUAACAGGAGUUUGAGAGUCCAAGAUUCGCAGAAAACAUGUGUGUGUCAAUGUGUGAAAGCCUAAUCAUGUCGCCCCUCAAGUGAAGUAGAUUUUAAUUCAAAAUAGAGAUGUGUGAGAACCUAAUCAUGUCCAAGUUUUUUGUAUGAUUUUCACCUUAGCUUGCUCUCAGUAACCCCUCUCUUAGUCUCAUUAAACAGUGACUCUGAAAUGUAUAUUCUUUUAAAGACAUGAUCACGUUCUUCAAAUUUUGCAAUCCAACACUUUUUGUCAAAAAAUAUACUACAAUCUGUCGGUUUCUAAUCGAGUAAAUAUGACAUUCACAAAGUAUAUCACUGAGAACACACCAUGGUGUGAGAGUGAAUAAGAAAUUAGUUAGCUAACAUAUGUGAAUGGUGCAAGCGCAGGUAUGGCCACCAAUUAACAUGAAGAAGUUCGAGACACUCUCGUAC